rnacentral:lncRNA from 1 species
AACGGCUCCAGGAAGGCAAGAGUAGAGGCAGAGAGUGCAUAAUGAGAGGCCAUGGAAAAAUCUAGACUCCUGAGCUACAAGGCCUCGUAACUCAGCCUGCCUGUCUCUGCCUUCAUCCUCUAGCACUUUCUCACUGAGUUCCAGCCACACCAGCCUCCUCUUGAUCCUCACCAUGGCGAGCUUCGUUCCUUCUGAGGAGUUUUGCCCUUGCAAAGAGGAGGUCUGUACUUUGACCUCUCAGGAUAGCCCUAUAUGGCUCUUCUCAGAAGUCACUUCCUCAGAGAGGACUUUCCCAACCUUGAUUUAAAUUUGCUACCC